AGGACGAACGCUGGCGGCGUGCUUAACACAUGCAAGUCGAGCGGAAAGGCCCUUCGGGGUACUCGAGCGGCGAACGGGUGAGUAACACGUGGGCAACCUGCCCUUAGCUCUGGGAUAGCUCCGGGAAACCGGAAUUAAUACCGGAUAUGACCUAGGCCGACAUCGGCUGUGGUGGAAAGUUUUUCGGCUAGGGAUGGACUCGCGGCCUAUCAGCUAGUUGGUGGGGUAAUGGCCUACCAAGGCGACGACGGGUAGCCGGCCUGAGAGGGCGACCGGCCACACUGGGACUGAGACACGGCCCAGACUCCUACGGGAGGCAGCAGUGGGGAAUCUUGCGCAAUGGGCGAAAGCCUGACGCAGCGACGCCGCGUGGGGGAUGAAGGCCUUCGGGUUGUAAACUCCUGUCGAGGGGGAGGAAGGGGCAACCGUUGACCGAUCCCUGGAGGAGCACGGGCUAAGUUCGCGCCAGCAGCCGC
rnacentral:rRNA from 1 species